rnacentral:lncRNA from 1 species
CGCGUACGCGUGGCGCGUGGCUCACGGGGAGCAUCGCUAACAAAGCUGGGUUCCUGCUGGGCCCCGCCCUGCUCCUCGCCCCCGCGACUGGGCUGGGCGCGCUGUCCCCUAGCGCAGCUAUGUCCCGAGCGCGCCCCCACCUGUGACCAGAUGCUCCUGGGCCACUGCCUCUGAGACCUCAGGGAACGGAGAUUUUUGUGGACCCAGCUGCCUGGAGCUGCUUUCCUGUUCCGGCCGGAGGAGGAUUCUGUGACUUGAUGGGUGGGCCCUCUGCUGCUCUGGGUGUGGCUGCAUACACCCCGGGGGUCAACAGGGACGAGCGGUACAGCGGCUGGGUUGCUCUCUACCCGGUCUUCGUCCAAGCCCCUCCACAGCUGGUAAGAUCUCCGGAGCAGGACCUGCAAGCCCUCUUCAGAUCACCCCAGAACUUCCUGUCUAAAAACUGAAGCCUCUCACUGCCCAGGCAUGGCUUCUUGCUACCCUGCCCUCAGGCACAGUCCUGCACCCACCUGCGUCUGCUGUGCCAUGUCCAGGCCAGUCCCCCCCCACCACCAACACCUCUCUCUAUCUUCAUCCUCUUCCCAAUCUGGUCCUCCCACCGCUGUGGAAACCCCGUCUGCCCCCAAAGCCUAGCUUAAAAAUAAUUCCCUAGGGACCUGUGUCUCUCCCUGCCUCGGCCCCUCCUUCAUUCCUGGGUGCCUCCGGCUGUGCAGCAUUUGACACUGCAGCACCCCCCUUAAUUCGGAAGCAUGCUGUCUCCUGGACUGGUGAGUCUCCACACUAUCUGAGCCGUCUUCUCUGGAACUCUUGGCCUCUCAGUCCGUUCUGAGAAUACAGCCUUGGUAAGCACGGUGCCCACAUGAAUGUUUCCAGCAGCAGGAUUCAAAAUAGCCACAUGUCCAUCAACAGAUGAGUGGAUAAACAAAACAUGGUCCAGAAUAAUGGAAGAUUACUCAGCCCUAAAAAGAGACGAAGCUGGUGAACCUCGAGAACACGAGGCCGCGUGAACGAAGCCAGACACCGAGGACCACGUAGCGUGAGACUCUCAGUCUAUGAAAUGUGCGGAGUCGAUAAAUUCACAGAGACAGAAAGGAGAUUCACGGUUGCCAGGGGCUGGGGAGUGACAACAGAGGGAUGGGGGUGACUGUGAAAGGGUACGUGGUUUCUUUCCCAGAGGAUAAGAACGUUCUAACAUGGCCUGUCCUGUUGGCUUCACAGCUCUGUACAACACACAAAAAAACCAUUGAAAUGUACACUUUGUGGAAUGUGAACUGUAUCUUGAUAAAGCAGUUAGAAGACCUUCGAACAUAAGCAUGCGGCCUCAUGGGGCCUUUGCCUGGGCACCCUGGCACCUCUCCCAGGCUCUACCUAUCUCCGACUUCAUUCCUGAGCUCUUGAACAGGGGUAAGGCAAACUUUUUCUGCAAAGGAACACGUGGUAAGUAUUUUCGGCCUUGACGGUCACAUGUCUCUGCCACGAGUCGUCUGCCUUGGGGCGCAAAUGCAGGCUUGGGCAGGGAAGAAAUAACAAAACUUGCUUCCUGGUCACUGAAACAUGAAG